UACGUAGGUGGCAAGCGUUGUCCGGAUUUACUGGGCGUAAAGAGCGCGCAGGCGGCUGGUCAAGUCCGAUGUGAAAUCCCCGGGCUCAACCUGGGAACUGCAUUUGUGACUGCACGGCUAGAGUGCGGCAGAGGGGGAUGGAAUUCCGCGUGUAGCAGUGAAAUGCGUAGAUAUGCGGAGGAACACCGAUGGCGAAGGCAAUCCCCUGGGCCUGCACUGACGCUCAUGCACGAAAGCGUGGGGAGCAAACAGG
rnacentral:rRNA from 1 species